rnacentral:rRNA from 1 species
GACGAACGCUGGCGGCGUGCUUAACACAUGCAAGUCGAACGGAAAGGCCCUGCUUUUGUGGGGUGCUCGAGUGGCGAACGGGUGAGUAACACGUGAGUAACCUGCCCUUGACUUUGGGAUAACUUCAGGAAACUGGGGCUAAUACCGGAUAGGAGCUCCUGCUGCAUGGUGGGGGUUGGAAAGUUUCGGCGGUUGGGGAUGGACUCGCGGCUUAUCAGCUUGUUGGUGGGGUAGUGGCUUACCAAGGCUUUGACGGGUAGCCGGCCUGGGAGGGUGACCGGCCACAUUGGGACUGAGAUACGGCCCAGACUCCUACGGGAGGCAAAAGUGGGAAAUCUUGCACAAUGGGCGGAAGCCUGAUGCGACAACGCCGCGUGCGGGAUGACGGCCUUCGGGUUGUAAACCGCUUUCGCCUGUGACGAAGCGUGAGUGACGGUAAUGGGUAAAGAAGCACCGGCUAACUACGUG